rnacentral:rRNA from 1 species
GGGUCAGUAGGUUGGUCGUGCCACCGGUACGUACUGGUCUCACUGAUUCCUCCUUCCUGAAGAACCGUAAUGCCAUUAAUUUGGUGUUGCGGGGAAACAGGACUGUUACUUUGAGAAAAUUAGAGUGUUUAAAGCAAGCUAACGCUUGGAUACAUUAGCAUGGAAUAAUGAAAUAGGACGAUCGAUCCUAUUUUGUUGGUUUCUAGGAUUGACGUA